UAUUAGAUUGGUGCAAAAGUAAUUGUGGGUUUCAGCAUUAGUUUAAUGGCAAAAGUUAAAUAAUGGCAAAAACUGCAAUUACUUUUGCAUCAACCUGAUACU
rnacentral:miRNA from 1 species